UCCCUGGAGGACUAGUGGUUAGGCCACAGUUCUCACACCGCUGUGGCUUGGGUUCGAUUCCUUGCCAGAGAA